GCGAGAGUAACUCAAUGGCUAGAGUGCUACCUUCCCAAGGUAGAAGUUGGGGGUUCGAGUCCCCUCUCUCGCUCCA
rnacentral:tRNA from 1 species